AGUGAACGCUGGCGGUAGGCCUAACACAUGCAAGUCGAACGGCAGCACAGUAAGAGCUUGCUCUUACGGGUAGCGAGUGGCGGACGGGUGAGGAAUACAUCGUAAUCUACUUUUUCGUGGGGGAUAACGUAGGGAAACUUACGCUAAUACCGCAUACGACCUACGGUUGAAAGCAGGGGAUCUUCUGACCUUGCGCGAUUGAAUGAGCCGAUGUCGGAUUAGCUGGUUGGCGGGGUAAAGGCCCACCAAGGCGACGAUCCGUAGCUGGUCUGAGAGGAUGAUCAGCCACACUGGAACUGAGACACGGUCCAGACUCCUACGGGAGGCAGCAGUGGGGAAUAUUGGACAAUGGGCGCAAGCCUGAUCCAGCCAUACCGCGUGGGUGAAGAAGGCCUUCGGGUUGUAAAGCCCUUUUGUUGGGAAAGAAAAGCAGCAGGUUAAUACCCCGCUGCUCUGACGGUACCCAAAGAAUAAGCACCGGCUAACUUCGUG
rnacentral:rRNA from 1 species